rnacentral:rRNA from 1 species
CUACGGGUGGCAGCAGUGGGGAAUAUUGGACAAUGGGCGAAAGCCUGAUCCAGCCAUGCCGCGUGUGUGAAGAAGGCCUUCGGGUUGUAAAGCACUUUCAGUGGGGAAGAAAGCCUUGGGGCUAAUACCCUCGAGGAAGGACAUCACCCACAGAAGAAGCACCGGCUAACUCCGUGCCAGCAGCCGCGGUAAUACGGAGGGUGCGAGCGUUAAUCGGAAUUACUGGGCGUAAAGCGCGCGUAGGCGGUCUGAUAAGCCGGUUGUGAAAGCCCCGGGCUCAACCUGGGAACGGCAUCCGGAACUGUCAGGCUAGAGUGCAGGAGAGGAAGGUAGAAUUCCCGGUGUAGCGGUGAAAUGCGUAGAGAUCGGGAGGAAUACCAGUGGCGAAGGCGGCCUUCUGGACUGACACUGACGCUGAGGUGCGAAAGCGUGGGUAGCAAACAGGAUUAGAUACCCGAGUAGUC